AACUCUAGACGCUAGUAUUAUUGGUUUCUUGUUGCUUGCACAAAAGUUAAAAUGGCAUAUCUCCACGCUAAUGUGAUUGGAUAUUCUCUGUCAGUACCAGACGCUUGCACGCCAUUAAUAUUGGCAUCCCUAGGAGCCUGCACACCAUUUAUAUUGCUGUCCCCAGUCCAUGACGUGACAAAAUGCAGAGAUUCUUUGCAAAAGCAUGCCGUACGCUAUUAUGGGUAGCGUCCUAG
rnacentral:misc_RNA from 1 species